GAUGAACGCUGGCGGCGUGCUUAACACAUGCAAGUCGAACGAAGCACUUUUACAGAUUUCUUCGGAUUGAAAUUUUAGUGACUGAGUGGCGGACGGGUGAGUAACGCGUGGGUAACCUGCCUCACACAGGGGGAUAACAGUUGGAAACGGCUGCUAAUACCGCAUAAGCGCACAGUACCGCAUGGUACGGUGUGAAAAAAUCCGGUGGUGUGAGAUGGACCCGCGUCUGAUUAGCUAGUUGGCAGGGCAACGGCCUACCAAGGCGACGAUCAGUAGCCGACCUGAGAGGGUGACCGGCCACAUUGGGACUGAGACACGGCCCAAACUCCUACGGGAGGCAGCAGUGGGGAAUAUUGCUCAAUGGGGGAAACCCUGAUGCAGCGACGCCGCGUGAGCGAAGAAGUAUUUCGGUAUGUAAAGCUCUAUCAGCAGGGAAGAAGAAAUGACGGUACCUGACUAAGAAGCACCGGCUAAAUACGUGCCAGCCGCCGCCGUAA
rnacentral:rRNA from 1 species